GACGAACGCUGGCGGCGUGCUUAACACAUGCAAGUCGAACGGAAAGGCCUGCUUUCCCUUGUGGAUUGCGGGUACUCGAGUGGCGAACGGGUGAGUAACACGUGAGUGAUCUGCCCCCAACUUGGGUAUAAGCCUGGGAAACUGGGUCUAAUUCCCGAUAGGACUGCAGGGUGGUGCCUGUGGUGGAAAACGAUUUUCUAGUGGUUGGGGAUGAGCUCGCGGCCUAUCAGCUUGUUGGUGGGGUAAUGGCCUACCAAGGCGGCGACGGGUAGCCGGCCUGAGAGGGUGGACGGCCACAUUGGGACUGAGAUACGGCCCAGACUCCUACGGGAGGCAGCAGUGGGGAAUAUUGCACAAUGGGCGGAAGCCUGAUGCAGCGACGCCGCGUGGGGGAUGACGGCCUUCGGGUUGUAAACUCCUUUCGACCGCGAGGAAGCCACCUGGUUGGAAGGGUGGCGACGGUAGUGGUAGAAGAAACACCGGCUAACUACGU
rnacentral:rRNA from 1 species